UUAGUAUAUAAUGGUAUAUUUUUUGUUUUGUUGGAACAUAUCUAAAGAAGAUAUCAAAAUGUUCAAAUCAGUAAUAACGAUAAUAAAAGAUAGCAGCAAUGUUUUCCAAGCGAAAAGCCAAAUCUAACAUAACAUGAUAUAGAAUAACAUCUUUACCUCUUACUUUCAAAUUUGACAGCUGCUUCAAACGUUUUUUAAUUAAUUAUUCAACCUUUUUUUAUUAAUUUUUUAUUGUUUUCUUCUCUCCUCCAUUUUCUCUUUCCUCCUUCCUUCGUCCGUUUUUGCAUCUCAGGUUCUUUGAGCACAGUACUUUGUAUCCUCAUCUCAGGUUGUCAUUCCUCCUUCCUUCGUCCAUGUUUUUGCAUUUCCAAGCCCUCAUCGCAUUUUCCUCUUCGGUAAUCUCUGUACGGUGCUUUUCAAUAAAGGGCUGCGAAUCGCUGGCUGAGGCUCGAGGUGGCGUCUGUGAUGGUGUUGAUCUCAUAUUUUGGUGUAGGUGUUUUAGGGUUAGUGCUGAUUUGGGGCUUGUUGUAACUUUUGUUAGAUUAUUUAACAUCUCUUUUGUUUUGGAGAUGUUCUUACGAGUUAUUAAUUUUUGUGUUGCCUGGUUGGAACUCCUAUAUAUGCUCGAUGAUCUUUUGCGUUUUGUGACACGUAUUGUUGUUAUUUUGUCUAAUUUUAUUUAUUAAUAAAAAAAAUAAUAUAUCAACGAUUGCCUUAA